GGAUAGCUCAAUUGGUUAGAGCAUGGUGUUGAUACUGCCGAGGCUGCAGGGUCGAUCCCUGUAUGGGACA